CGCAAUGGGGGAAACCCUGACGCAGCGACGCCGCGUGUAGGAAGAAGGCCUUCGGGUCGUAAACUACUGUCAAGAGGGAAGAAACUGUUGGAUCAUAAUACGGUCCUUCACUGACGGUACCUCUAGAGGAAGCACCGGCUAACUCCGUGCCAGCAGCCGCGGUAAUACGGAGGGUGCGAGCGUUAAUCGGAAUCACUGGGCGUAAAGCGUGCGUAGGCGGCGCUCCAAGUCAGGCGUGAAAGCCCUCGGCUCAACCGAGGAAUUGCGCUUGAAACUGGAGUGCUGGAGUCUCGGAGAGGUUGGCGGAAUUCCAGGUGUAGGAGUGAAAUCCGUAGAUAUCUGGAGGAACACCGGUGGCGAAGGCGGCCAACUGGACGAGUACUGACGCUGAGGUACGAAAGCGUGGGUAGCAAACAGGAUUAGAUACCCUGGUAGUCCACGCUGUAAACGAUGGAUAUUAGGUGUCGGGGUUUAUCUUCGGUGCCGCAGUUAACGCGUUAAAUAUCCCGCUGGG
rnacentral:rRNA from 1 species